GUAUAGAGGGUGAAUUCUGCCCAAUGGUUGUAUAGUGAAACUGAGGACUAACGUCUAAAGCGAAACCCAACUGAAUGGCCGCGGUAACUCUGACCGUGAUAAUGUAGCACAAUAAAUAGCCAAUUAAUUGUUGGCGGGUAUGAAUGGAACCACGAGGGUCUUACUGUCUCAAGAGGAAAGCCGAUGAAAUUAUAGUUGUAGUGAAGAUACUACAUAAACAUUGUAAGACGAAAAGACCCUAUCGAGCUUUACUGGAUACCGAUAGCGUUAAUUUAAAAUGAUCGAUACUAAGUAUCCUGAUUUUGAGUUAAUAAUUUUUGUUGGUAGGACAGUUUAGUUGGGGCGACUACCUUUGAAUAAGAAACGAAGGCGAGCUUAUGGUAUACAAAGCUAAUCUCAUUAGCCUGACAGUGAGGGGGACACCCCUAGCUGGCACAAGGACUACGUCCUAUGUGGGCGAUAAUGACCCGAUAUGAUUGUCCAAAAUAAAUAUCGAAAGCGGAUAAAAGCUACCGUAGGGAUAACAGCGUAAUAUUGUCGGAGAGUUCUUAUCGAGGACAGUGUUUGCGACCUCGAUGUUGAAUUGCGGUGCCCUGGUGCUGUAGAAGGUACCUCAGGUUGGUC
rnacentral:rRNA from 1 species